CCUCCGUAGGUGAAACUGCGGAAGGAUCAUUGUCGAAACUUCAAAGAAGAUACGACCCGCGAACAUGUUGUCAAAAUCAAGGGGUUGUGUCGGGCCCUGGGACGAUGCUCCCCUAUGGGGGGGUGGUGCGGAUGGGGGUGGUGGGCUUGUUCCAUCCAACCUGUUUUGCACUUAUCCUCCCAACAACCAAAACCCCGGCGCAAAACGCGCCAAGGAAUCGGAAACAAAAAGAGAAGGGAACUGACGCCCUGACGUGCCGGGAACGGAAUUCGCAAGGGCGGCCAGUUUCCCUAUUUGAAAACUUAACGACUCUCGGCAACGGAUAUCUUGGCUCUCGCAUCGAUGAAGAACGUAGCGAAAUGCGAUACUUGGUGUGAAUUGCAGAAUCCCGUGAACCAUCGAGUUUUUGAACGCAAGUUGCGCCCGAAGCCUUCGGGCCGAGGGCACGUCUGCCUGGGUGUCAUGUAUCGUUGCCCCACCCAACUCCCUUUGUGGGAGACUGGACUAGGGGCGGAAAAUGGUCUCCCGUGCGCCCACGCUUGCGGUUGGCCGAAAUUUGAGUUGUUGGCGACAGUGCCCACGGCAAGUGGUGGUUGAUAAAACCUUCGGAAAAUGUCGUGGCCAAGCCAACAAAAGGCUCCGAGACCCAGUUCACUCCAACAGCGACCCAGGUCAGGCGGGAUUACCGCUGAGUUUAGCAUUCAUU
rnacentral:rRNA from 1 species